rnacentral:rRNA from 1 species
CCUACGGGAGGCAGCAGUGAGGAAUAUUGGUCAAUGGGCGAGAGCCUGAACCAGCCAAGUCGCGUGAAGGAUGACGGCCCUACGGGUUGUAAACUUCUUUUGUCAGGGAGCAAGUGGGUCCACGCGUGGGCUGAGCGAGAGGACCUGAAGAAAAAGCAGCGGCGAACUCCGUGCCAGCAGCCGCGGUAAUACGGAGGAUGCGAGCGUUAGCCGGAUUUAUUGGGUUUAACGGGUGCGUAGGCGGAAUAUCAAGUCAGCGGUAAAAAUUCGGGGCUCAACCCCGUCGUGCCGUUGAAACGGCUGUUCUUGCGUGGGCGAGAAGUCUGCGUCAUGCGUGGUGUAGCGGUGACCUGCCUAGAUAUCACGCAGAACUCCGAUUGCGAAGGCAGCCUACCGGCGCCCAACUGCCGCUGACGCACGACAGCGUGGGUAUCGAACAGGCUUAGCUACCCUUGUAGUC